GAUGAACGCUGGCGGCGUGCCUAAUACGUGCAAGUCGAGCGAACAGAUGAGGAGCUUGCUCCUCUGACGUUAGCGGCGGACGGGUGAGUAACACGUGGAUAACCUACCUAUAAGACUGGGAUAACUUCGGGAAACCGGAGCUAAUACCGGAUAAUAUAUUGAACCGCAUGGUUCAAUAGUGAAAGACGGUUUUGCUGUCACUUAUAGCUGGAUCCGCGCCGCAUUAGCUAGUUGGUAAGGUAACGGCUUACCAAGGCAACGAUGCGUAGCCGACCUGAGAGGGUGAUCGGCCACACUGGAACUGAGACACGGUCCAGACUCCUACGGGAGGCAGCAGUAGGGAAUCUUCCGCAAUGGGCGAAAGCCUGACGGAGCAACGCCGCGUGAGUGAUGAAGGUCUUCGGAUCGUAAAACUCUGUUAUUAGGGAAGAACAAAUGUGUAAGUAACUAUGCACGUCUUGACGGUACCUAAUCAGAAAGCCACGGCUAACUACGUG
rnacentral:rRNA from 1 species